GGACUGAGACACGGCCCAGACUCCUACGGGAGGCAGCAGCUAAGAAUCUUCCGCAAUGGACGAAAGUCUGACGGAGCGACGCCGCGUGAACGAAGAAGGCCGGAAGGUUGUAAAGUUCUUUUGCGGGUGAAGAAUAAGGCGAGGAGGGAAUGCCUCGCUGAUGACGUUAGCCUGUGAAUAAGCCCCGGCUAAUUACGUGCCAGCAGCCGCGGUAACACGUAAGGGGCGAGCGUUGUUCGGAAUUAUUGGGCGUAAAGGGCGUGUAGGCUGUUUUGUAAGCCUGGUGUGAAAGUGCACGGCUUAACUGUGUAUGUGCGCUGGGAACUGCAAGACUAGAGUCCGGAAGGGGGAGGUAGAAUUCCUGGUGUAGGGGUGAAAUCUGUAGAUAUCAGGAAGAAUACCGGUGGCGAAGGCGACCUCCUGGUCCUGGACUGACGCUGAGGCGCGAAAGCGUGGGGAGCGAACAGGAUUAGAUACCCUGGUAGUCCACGCUGUAAACGAUGUGCACUAGGUGUUGGGGCAAGAGCUUCAGUGCCGAAGCGAACGCGAUAAGUGCACCGCCUGGGGAGUAUGCUCGCAAGGGUGAAACUCAAAGGAAUUGACGGGGGCCCGCACAAGCGGUGGAGCAUGUGGGUUAAUUCGAUGAUACGCGAGGAACCUUACCAGGGCUUGACAUAUACCGGGAGCCGUGAGAGAUCACGGUGCCCCUUUGGGGCCGGUAUACAGGUGCUGCAUGGCUGUCGUCAGCUCGUGCUGUGAAGUGUUGGGUUAAGUCCCGCAACGAGCGCAACCCCUACUGUCUGUUGCCAACAGGUGAAGCUGGGGACUCAGACGGAACUGCCGGUGACAAACCGGAGGAAGGUGGGGACGACGUCAAGUCAUCAUGGCCCUUAUGUCCUGGGCUACACACGUGCUACAAUGGCCGGUACAGAGUGAGGCGAAACCGCGAGGUGGAGCAAAUCACAGAAAACCGGUCUCAGUUCGGAUCGGAGUCUGAAACCCGACUUCGUGAAGGUGGAAUCGCUAGUAAUCGCGCAUCAGCAUGGCGCGCUGAAUACGUUCCCGGGCCUUGUACACACCGCCCGUCACACCACCCGAGUUGGGGGUACCCGAAGUCGCUAGAC
rnacentral:rRNA from 1 species